UACGUAGGGGGCUAGCGUUGUCCGGAUUUAUUGGGCGUAAAGAGCGUGUAGGCGGCCAGAUAGGUCUGCUGUGAAAACUCGAGGCUCAACCUCGAGAUGUCGGCGGAAACCAUUUGGCUAGAGUCCGGAAGAGGAAAGUGGAAUUCCUGGUGUAGCGGUGAAAUGCGCAGAUAUCAGGAGGAACACCGGUGGCGAAGGCGGCGACCUGGGGUAGAUACUGACGCUGAGGCGCGAAAGCGUGGGGGAGCAAACAGG
rnacentral:rRNA from 1 species